rnacentral:tRNA from 1 species
GCUCCCGUAGCUCAGUUGGAUAGAGCAACGGCCUUCUAAGCCGUAGGUCGCAGGUUCGAGCCCUGCCGGGGGUA